ACUGAAAGUCCUGCCUGGCUGAAAAGGACAUGUAAGACAGAAAGCUGCCUUUGGCUGAAGUAGGUGAUCAUAAAUUGACUUGAGAGAAAUGGCAAAAAUUCUGAUUUUCUUUCUCUCCUCUCUUUCUUAAUUUUUUAUUUAUUUAUUUUUUAAUGAUAUUUUCCUUUGUAGGUACAGCAUGCUUUCACAUUCUCUUUAAUAGAAGUUAAGGCAUUCAGUGUCUUGACCAUAAAAUAGGUCCCAUUGUCUCACUAUAUAAAUCAGACACACACAAGACUGGUUUGGAUUCCCAUGGAAUGUUCCAUGACACUUUUACAAAGACAAUCUUUUUUUUUUUCAAACAGUUGCCUAAUUUCUAAGAAAGAGGAUUGCAAAAUAGUGUAGUUCUUCAUUUUUCCUCUUCAUUGUUUAAGGUAAUGUUUUUAACCUUUUUUGGUAAAAUGGAAACAGAAAAAUUCUUACACUGAGGAGAUAGCACUAGUAUAGGACAAUUCAGCCUGACAUUGGAGAAGUAAGGUUAUUCAUACAAUUUCUUCCACCCUUAUUCUUGAGAUACAAGAGAAAAAAUAUCAGUAAAAAUAGAUGUUCUACCUUAAUACUCAGUCUCCUAACAUUCCCUCAGGCAGCUGUUACAGUUUAGUUUCCUUGUUACUUGAACUGGAUUUGGGCUUGGAAAAUAGAGUUAGCCAGCAGUUAAGUUUCAUGGCUUUGCCUUUGUGAGUUGACAUGCUUGGUCAGGCCUGGAUGUAAUGAUGACUGAAGAUUUAAGAACAUUUUGUUGCUGCCUCCAGGGUACCAGCUAUCCUUAUCACUGCUCCCAUGGCAACAAGUCUCUGCUCCAGAGCUAACUGCAAGAGAACUAAUUCAGAAAGCAUCUCACUUUUUAUGGAAGGACAUCAUGACUGGCAUAUGAAGAGAAAGCAGACAAAGGUAAGAUGUAGAAAUUCCUUUAAAAAUGAGAAAAUUGAGAUUGCAAGAGAUCCCUGCAGUGUAAUUCAUAAAUAGGCCUGUCAUCCUUGUUAAUACUAUGUCAUGUGUUGUUUCUACAGUAAGCUGAUAAUG
rnacentral:lncRNA from 1 species